rnacentral:pre_miRNA from 1 species
AACCUACUCCCUCCGUCCGGAAAUACUUGUCAUCAAAAUGAAUAAAAGGGAAUGUAUCUAGAUGUAUUUUAGUUCUAGAUACAUUCUUUUUUGUUUAUUUUAAUGACAAGUAUUUUCGGACGGAGGGAGUAUAAG